UAUUUCCUCCACUUUACAGAUAAAGAAACUAAGCCUUGGAGAGAUGAAGACACUUUCCCAAAAUCUGCUUUGCAGCCAGGAUUCUGUCCCAGGACAUGCUCCAAGGAUCAGAUCCCCAAAACCUGGAAAGAAGGGGUUGGAAUCUUCAUCUCAUUGGAUCAUCACCACCAACCUCAGCUCCUUGAGGACACAGUCUGAGGGCUGUGUGUUGCAUUUUCAGUCCCUGGCAGAGGGCCUGGCCCCUAGUCAGUUCUCAAUAAAUAUUGAAAGAAGGAAGACUGUUCUUCGAAGUAGGUCACCGGUUUCUGCUCGAUUCUUGCCCUCGAGGGAAGAAACAUGGAUUGACAUCUGCAUGACAUCCAGUUCAAUGUAAGUGUUCAAUGAAUGUUCGUAGAAAGAAUGAAAGUUGUUGUCUUUCCUUUGUCUCUCUGACUCUGUUACUUAUUUUGUUAAUUAAAAU
rnacentral:lncRNA from 1 species